AGUAAUAUGUGAACAACGAGAGCGAGUGUUUCACCGGGAUAUCCAAACACUCGAAAACAAUGUAUGAAAACACAGUCGCACUUCGCGCUCGUCUUUUCAUACAUUGUUUUCUCGUGUUUGGAUAUCCCGGUGAAACACUCGCUCUCGUUGUUCAUAUAUUACUUC